rnacentral:rRNA from 1 species
AGACUCAUCCGAGGCCUCGCAAUCGGAAUGACUACACUUUUAAAAUCCUUUAACGAGGAUCUAUUAUUGUGAGGCAAGUCUGGUGGCCAGCAGCCCGCGGUAAUUCCAGCUCCAAUAGCGUUUAUAUUAAACGUUGUUGCUUUAAAAAUGCUCGUAGUUGGAUUUCAAGUUCUGGACUGACGGUUCACCGCCCGGUGCAUUACAUACUGUCACGCUCCGAACAGCCACAACAGCCCGCUGGCUCGCACGGGGUGCUCUUCAUCGAGUGUCCCGCGUGGCCGGCAGAGUUUUACUUUGAAAAAAUUAGAGUGCUCAAAGCAGGCUACACUUACGGCCUGAAUGCCUAUGCAUGGAAUAAUGGAAUAGGACCUCGGUUCUAUUUUGUCGGUUUUCUGAACCCGAGGUAAUGACUAAUAGGAACAGGCGGGGGCAUUCGUAUUGCGACGCUAGAGGUGAAAUUCUUGGACCGUCGCAAGACGAACUACUGCGAAAGCAUUUGCAAGGAUGUUUUCAUUAAUCAAGAACGAAAGUUAGAGGUUCGAAGGCGAUAGAUCAAACCGCCCUAGUUCUAACCAUAAACGAUGCUGACCAGCGAUCCGCCGGCGUUAUUCCCAUGACCCGGCGGGCAGCUUCCGGGAAAACCAAAGUCUUUGGGUUCCGGGGGAAGUAUGGUUGCAAAGCUGAAACUUUAAAGGAAUUGACGGAAGGGCACCACCAGGAGUGGAGCCUGCGGCUUAAUUUGACUCAAACACGGGGAACCUCACCAGGCCCAGACACCGGAAGGAUUGACAGAUUGAGAGCUUCUUCUCGAUUCGGUGGUGGGUGGUGCAUGGCCGUUCUUAGUUGGUGGAGCGAUUUGUCUGGUUAAUUCCGAUAACGAACGAGACUCUGCCUACUAACUAGUCGACGGAUCUCCAGCAAUUGGUGUCCAGUUCGCAGCUUCUUCUUAGAGGGAUAAGCGGCAACUUUAGCCGCACGAGAUUGAGCAAUAACAGGUCUGUGAUGCCCUUAGAUGUUCUGGGGCCGCACGCGCGCUACACUGAAGGGAUCAACGUGUCCUCCCCCUCCGAGAGGAGCGGGUAACCCGUUGAAAUCCUUUCAUGAUAGGGAUUGGGGUUUGCAAUUGUCUCCCAUGAACGAGGAAUUCCCAGUAAGCGCAAGUCAUGAGCUUGCGUGAUUACGUCCCUGCCCUUUUGUACACACCGCCCGUCGCUACUACCGAUUGAAUGAUUUAGUGAGGCCUUCGGACUGGCGCUCUUGGAUGCCGGGCCCACGCGGUUCCGCCGCUGGGCUUUCGGCGCCUCGAGCUGACGGAAAGAUGUCCAAACAACUUGAUCAUUUUAGAGGAAAGUAAAAAGUCGUAACAAGGUUUCCGUAGGUGAACCUGCGCGAAG